AUACGUAGGUGGCAAGCGUUGUCCGGAUUUACUGGGCGUAAAGGGAGCGUAGGCGGAUUUUUAAGUGGGAUGUGAAAUCCCCGGGCUCAACCCGGGGGCUGCAUUCCAAACUGGAAGUCUAGAGUGUCGGAGAGGAAAGCAGAAUUCCUAGUGUAGCGGUGAAAUGCGUAGAGAUUAGGAAGAAUACCAGUGGCGAAGGCGGCUUUCUGGACGAUAACUGACGCUGAGGCUCGAAAGCGUGGGGAGCAAACAGGAUUAGAUACCCUGGUAGUCCACGCCGUAAACGAUGGAUACUAGGUGUAGGAGGGUCCAACCUUCUGUGCCGCCGCAAACGCAUUAAGUAUCCCGCCUGGGGAGUACGGUCGCAAGAUUAAA
rnacentral:rRNA from 1 species